AGCUUCGGCCAUCCGGCGAGGGAUGGGCCCGCGGUGCAUUAGCUAGUUGGUGGGGUAACGGCCCACCAAGGCAACGAUGCGUAGCUGGUCUGAGAGGAUGAUCAGCCACACUGGGACUGAGACACGGCCCAGACUCCUACGGGAGGCAGCAGCCAGGAAUCUUGGGCAAUGGGCGAAAGCCUGACCCAGCAACACCGUGUGAGCGAUGAAGGCCUUCGGGUCGUAAAGCUCUGUUGAUAGGGACGAAGGGCGAAGGGUUAAUAGCCC
rnacentral:rRNA from 1 species